UCCCCAUGGCAAUGCUCCAAUCAAGACCACGAUGCCUCAACCUACACACACAGCAAAAUCAACCACUCAACAACUAGCUAGAACAAAUCAAACCGAUUUGAUUCGAGAGACGAAAUGCGAUCAGUUACCGGCGCGAGAGUUCGAUAAUGCGAGACCGCUUGGCCCCCUAGAGUUGUCUCUCUUGAAUGCCCGGUCUUUCCCAUUUGGCCUGAAGUUCAAAUCUUCAAAUGGCUUGAAAUUCAAAGCUCCAGUCUUCAAAUGUCCUUUACUAAGAGAGAGAAGGUUCCCCACUGAUAUUAUUUCCAAAUCACCAACAGUCUCAGUUCUUAUGCUUCAACUAUGACAUCCUCAAUAUGCCUCGGAAAGGACCAAAUAGUUUGUCCAUGGAUACUCCAAGUCAUACUAGGACAAGAUAUUACCAGAAUGAUUUUCGAAGUUUCAAACUAUACAGCAGGGCAGUGAGGACCUUUGCCAUUUACAAAAUAGGCAUUUCUUGUUAAUUUAGUGGACAAAGUUGAGCAAGUCUGAUGGAUCAUUAAUUUAUGUGGCUAUCAAAUUGGUGAAUAAGCCUCUAUCAUCUUGAAGCAAAGUUACGCAGCAGGAAUGUACUCCAAACUAGUUGGGUACAAUAAUUUAUCAUUCUAUGUUUUUACACAACGUUUGAUAAUAUAUAGAUUUUUACUUGGACUUAUAUGUAGUUUCUAUUGCAUGUCUACGUCUAUAUUGCUUGGACUUAUGUAGUUUUUGUUGUAUACAAAACAUUGUGGGUUCAUCUACUUGUUAGCUA